ensembl:lincRNA A730036I17Rik RIKEN cDNA A730036I17 gene
GUAUUUUGUAGUUUAGUGUGAGGUACAAUAGACCUUGAGGGUCCCAGAGAGAGCCUAUACUGUGUAAAGAACCAUUGGAGAAUGUCCUCUGGUCUGAAAAACAUAUACCCAUUGACUUCUGGGUUGCCCUAGGAGUCUUUAUUAAAUUUAAUUUCAAUUAAAAUGUUUGGGGAGCCAGCUCCUGGGAAUACUAAUCAAUAUUAGUUGAAUAGUCCCAUGAUGAAUCUUACAUGCACCUUAUUGAUCUGGAAUGAAGGUAAUUUUCUUUUACCUGACAUCUUGUCUCCUGGCAAGUUCUCCACUGGCCUCCAUGUGUUCAACCUCACCAGCAUUUUGAGACUCGAGUUAGCAUGGGAGCAGAGAGUGGUCAGGAAGUCACACUGUCCUGAGGAGAAGAUUAAGACACUGUAGCUAUUGAGAAAGCCACUUGAGGUCACAGUCUGCACAAGAGGGGACAUGUCACCCAGGGGUGGAGAAGUACAAGGAGACAUGAGACUGGCACACUAUCCCAAAGGCGACAAGGCGCUGGGUACCGCUCAGAUUGCUUCGUCCGAGCACACGUGUCCAUCACAUCACAGAAAGCAAAAGCUACAAACGCAGAGAACUCAGUGUGUACUUUCAUAAUCCUUCCCAAAGAAAAGCCUGCAGCCUCAGGAGAUCUCGAGGCCACAAUGGAUACCACGAAGGCUUCAGUGUGUGCAGAGAAAGGAGCGUCCACAUGAUAUUUGAGAUGUGUGUAUCUGCGCACGUUAGUACAGGUGUCAGUGGAGACCAGAAGAGCACACUGGAUCUCUUGGAGCAGGAGUUACAGGUGGUUGUGAAUGUUGAAUUCAGCUGGGGUCCUUUGGAAGAACAGAGCAUGCUCCUGGCUACCGAGUCAUCUUUCUACCCCGGAAGACCCAUGCUUUCUUGAAAACAACUUCUACUGGACACCAGGUCUCUGUCAGUUCUCAAGAACCUGGUGAGAGCUGCACCCGUGUGCCUGUCAUUACGGAGCCUGCUUAGCCCCGCUGCAGAGGAAUCCUAGUCCCUCACACGUCUGGUGUGAAGUCCCACUGUGCCAAGUGGGCUUCUUCCUAGGAGCAGUUUCUAGCCAAGUCUCCACAUGCUUGGUGGGUGGGUGUGGGAACCCAGGGAAGGCUUGGCAGGAGAUCUGCAGAGGGAGCUGUUACAACCCAAACAGACACUGUGUGCACAAUGCGUCACUCACACGUCUCUUCCAUAUGCCUGGAACCAGUCACUGGAAACUGCAAGGCUCCCUGCAACCCCUCAAAAUGACAGAGAAAGUGCCUAGGACUCACAGGACAACUUGGUCUACUGUCUCCCAGGCAUCCUAAAAACCACUGAGUAUUUAAAUUAUCACACUAAGGGAAAUACACCCGGGUCAGCCCUUCCACUAUUGGACUGAAACAAAGAAUUUUUUGGUCGUCCAACUUCCUAGCAUUCAGGCCUUGCUCUGGAUGUGACAACUCUACCUUCUGACGAGUUUCCAGUUCAAGGUCAGAAGCAGUCUGGGAGGAAGCAUUCCUCACAAACCAAGUGUGAGGACACGUGCUCUGUGCAAGCCACAGCCUUUGGACUCCAUUCUGGACUUUGACUGCUGCGUGGAGUACGGCUGGAACUAGAGAGAUGUCGCUGCGCUGACUCACACUGCACAUGCUCCCAGACAGUGAGUGGGAUCCCAACUGAGGAGUGCAGGGCUCGUGCUGAUAGAACCUGGCCAGCUUGCACCUGACCACUGGCUCUGCAGUGGAAGAGAAGGUAGCAAGAGCAACCACAGGAGCCUCCUCCCCAGUUCUGCAGGGUCUGCCUCUCUCUCCCUUCCCUGCUGUGGGCCACCUCUGUUGCCUGCUGCUGAGGAGCCCUCCUGCCAGCCCAGCUUUCUUUGCUCUUUCCUCCAGAGCCCUAGCCUCCUGGGUCUCACCCACAGCAGAUGCUGUGUCAGUUUUUCCUCUGUGACUUCUGUCCCUGGGCACUCUAGGCAGCUGCGUGUGAAUGGGUGAGUGUAAGAGAGAGGACACAGGAGACAAAGAAAGGAAUGAGCGUAUGAAGGGCUGAGAGCUUAGCCGAUGAACACUGAACUUCUGGAACUUUAACAUUCCGGAAUGUUCUCCCCUUCAGCUGGACCAUGUUACUACAGGAUCUUUAGAUCCUUCGAGAAAACGAGAAUAUUCCUAGUAAGA